UACGUAGGGUGCGAGCGUUAAUCGGAAUUACUGGGCGUAAAGCGUGCGCAGGCGGUUGUACAAGACAGGUGUGAAAUCCCCGGGCUUAACCUGGGAACUGCACUUGUGACUGUACGACUGGAGUACGGCAGAGGGGGAUGGAAUUCCGCGUGUAGCAGUGAAAUGCGUAGAUAUCUGGAGGAACACCGGUGGCGAAGGCGCCCACCUGGCCUGCUACUGACGCUGAAGCUCGAAAGCUAGGGGAGCAAACGGG
rnacentral:rRNA from 1 species